rnacentral:rRNA from 1 species
AACGAACGCUGGCGGCAGGCUUAACACAUGCAAGUCGAGCGCCCCGCAAGGGGAGCGGCAGACGGGUGAGUAACGCGUGGGAAUCUACCCAGCUCUACGGAAUAACUCAGGGAAACUUGUGCUAAUACCGUAUACGCCCUUCGGGGGAAAGAUUUAUCGGAGUUGGAUGAGCCCGCGUUGGAUUAGCUAGUUGGUGGGGUAAAGGCCUACCAAGGCGACGAUCCAUAGCUGGUCUGAGAGGAUGAUCAGCCACACUGGGACUGAGACACGGCCCAGACUCCUACGGGAGGCAGCAGUGGGGAAUAUUGGACAAUGGGCGCAAGCCUGAUCCAGCCAUGCCGCGUGAGUGAUGAAGGCCCUAGGGUUGUAAAGCUCUUUCACCGGUGAAGAUAAUGACGGUAACCGGAGAAGAAGCCCCGGCUAACUUCGUGCCAGCCGCCGCCGUAAGAC